rnacentral:rRNA from 1 species
UACGGGGGGGGUAAGCGUUGUUCGGAAUUACUGGGCGUAAAGGGCUCGUAGGCGGCCAACUAAGUCAGACGUGAAAUCCCUCAGCUUAACUGGGGAACUGCGUCUGAUACUGGAUGGCUUGGAUUCGGGAGAGGAAUGCGGAAUUCCAGGUGUAGCGGUGAAAUGCGUAGAUAUCUGGAAGAACACCGGUGGCGAAGGCGGUCAACUGGCCCUCAACUGACGCUGAGGCACGAAAGCGUGGGGAUCAAACAGG